GCUGUUAUAGUUUAUUGAAAAAUAUACGAUUUGUAAUCGUGGGAAGAGAGCAGCU
rnacentral:tRNA from 1 species